ACCGCACACAAACCCAAAGGUCAUUAGCUCUACACAUGUGGUGAUCUACGCUAUAUGUGCUCAAAGAAACUAGAACCUUGUCGCCUUUUAUCGGCUCUGUGUGCCAAUAGGAGUGAAUUCAAGGUCCGACAUUC